ACGAACGCUGGCGGCGUGCUUAACACAUGCCAGUCGAACGGUGAAGGGAUCAGCUUGCUGGUUCUGGAUGAGUGGCGAACGGGUGAGUAACACGUGAGUAACCUGCCCCCUUCUUCUGGAUAACCGCAUGAAAGUGUGGCUAAUCCGGGAUAUUCUGGGUCUGUCGCAUGAUGGGUCUGGGAAAGAUAUUGUUUCGGUGGGGGAUGGGCUCGCGGCCUAUCAGCUUGUUGGUGGGGUGAUGGCCUACCAAGGCGGUGACGGGUAGCCGGCCUGAGAGGGUGGACGGUGACACUGGGACUGAGACACGGCCCAGACUCCUACGGGAGGCAGCAGUGGGGAAUAUUGCACAAUGGGCGCAAGCAUGAUGCAGCGACGCCGCGUGAGGGAUGGAGGCCUUCGGGUUGUAAACCUCUUUCGCCAGUGAAGCAGGCCUGCUCCUUGUGGGUGGGUUGACGGUAGCUGGAUAAGAAGCGCCGGCUAACUACGUG
rnacentral:rRNA from 1 species